rnacentral:rRNA from 1 species
AGAGUUUGAUCCUGGCUUAGGAUGAACGCUGGCGGCGUGCCUAACACAUGCAAGUCGAGCGGAGAUACUUUAUAAGCUUGCUUAAGGAGUAUCUAGCGGCGGAUGGGUGAGGAACGCGUGGAGAACCUGCCCUUCACAGGGGGAUAACAGUUGGAAACGACUGUUAAUACCGCAUAUGCUCACAGCACCGCAUGGUGCAGGGAGGAAAGCGCUAGUGGUGAAGGAUGGCUCCGCGUCGGAUUAGCCAGUUGGCGGGGUAACGGCCCACCAAAGCGAUGAUCCGUAGCCGGCCUGAGAGGGCGACCGGCCACAUUGGGACUGAGACACGGCCCAAACUCCUACGGGAGGCAGCAGUGGGGGAUAUUGCACAAUGGGCGAAAGCCUGAUGCAGCGACGCCGCGUGAAGGAAGACGUACCUCGGUAUGUAAACUUCUAUCAGCAGGGAAGAAGAUGACGGUACCUGACUAAGAAGCCCCGGCUAACUACGUGCCAGCCGCCGC